rnacentral:rRNA from 1 species
CACGCUUGAAUACAUUAGCAUGGAAUAACGGAAUAGGACGUUUGAUUCUAUUUUGUUGGUUUCUAGGAUCGACGUAAUGAUUAAUAGGGAUAGUUGGGGGCAUUAGUAUUCAAUUGUCAGAGGUGAAAUUCUUGGAUUUAUUGAAGACUAACUACUGCGAAAGCAUUUGCCAAGGAUGUUUUCAUUAAUCAAGAACGAAAGUUAGGGGAUCGAAGACGAUCAGAUACCGUCGUAGUCUUAACCAUAAACUAUGCCGACUAGGGAUCGGAUGAUGUUAAUUUUUUAAUGACUCAUUCGGCGCCUUACG